rnacentral:misc_RNA from 1 species
GAUGAAGAACGUAGCAAAAUGCGAUAAGUAAUGUGAAUUGCAGAAUUCAGUGAAUCAUCGAAUCUUUGAACGCACAUUGCGCCCCUUGGUAUCCCGAGGGGCAUGCCUGUUCGAGCGUCAUUUCACCACUCAAGCCUGGCUUGGUGUUGGGCGACGUCCUCUUUGGGGACGCGCCUCGAAACGCUCGGCGGCGUGGCACCGGCUUUAAGCGUAGCAGAAUCUUUCGCUUUGGAAGUCGGGGCCCCGUCUGCCGGAAGACCUGCUCGCAAGGUUGACCUCGGAUCAGGCAGGGAUACCCGCUGAACUUAAGCAUAUCAUAAGCGGAGGA